GGGGCCUAGGGACUGCCUAGCAGUUUUAGAGGUUUUAGGGGUUUUAGAGGUCAUGGACCCCUGGGGACUGAACAAAGCUGUGUGGAUAUGUGCCUGAAUGAAUGAUUCUGGGACGGGGGGGAGGGGUCAGUAGCACUCACCACAUUUUGGAAGAGCUCUGUAACCCCAAAAUAGUUAAGAACUUUCAUUUACCUGGUCAAAUUAUAGGCUGAUUUUGUGUGAUUUUUCUUUAUGUAUUUCUAGUUUGCUUUAGUUUCUGUUUCUAUUUUAUGUAUGUUGUUGCUUUGUUAGUUGUGACGUUAUCUUAAGAAAUAGGCAGGGUAUAAAUUAUCAAGAAAUUACCAUGUUUGGGGCAUAUAUAUUUAACAGUGAUAUAUCGAGAAACUGUGCCUUUUAGUGCCCUUUUUGAAUGCUUCUAGCUUCAACUUCUCCUUUCCAAAUAUCAAAAGCCCCUUGCUUUUUUUGAGUUUGCAUUUGCAUGAGAGUUUAUUUAGCUUGGCAUUUUAUUUUUUAAAUUUGUGUAUAUAUUUUGCUAUAUAACUUAUAAACAGCAAAUUGUUGGAUUUUGUUUUCUGAAUUCUUUCUAUAUUUUUUCUCUUUACAUAAGUUCUCCUAUUAUUAGUGUAAUUGUUCAGAGUGAGGCAUAAUUAAUAUUCCUCUUAAUAUUUUAACAUGCAGUAACUCAUUUAACCCACAGAUCAUGCUUACCCCCCACCCCCAUCUCCGUGAGUUAUUAUCCAUGUGUGGAGUGUCACUUCAGGUGGACUAGAGGUCUGCCAUUGGGCACCUGUUCCCCUGGGUCUUUGUCAGUGCCUGGCUGUCCCGAGCCCAAUCUUGAAGUCACUGCCUCUGGCUUCAGUGUCCUUGGCUAUAACUGGGAGGAAUCAUAUCUCCCCCCUGCCCCCCAGCCCUGUGUGGCUCAGGGAACUAAUGAAAGCAAACCUGCGUGGCAAACUGAGGGUAUAGGUGAUUCUUACACUAGUCACGUUUAGAAAUAUUCCUUUAUUGGAGUUCCUGUCCUGGCACGGCGGAAACAAAUCCAACUAGGAACCAUGAGGUUGUGGGUUUGAUUCUGGGCCUCACUCAGUGGGUUGAGGAUCUGGCAUUGCCAUGAGCUGUGGUGUAGGUUCCCAGGCUAGGGGUCUAAUCUGAGCUACAGCUGGCCUAUGCCAGAGCCACAGCAAUGCCAGAUCUGAACCUUGUCUGCGACCUACACCAGAAGGAUGACCUACCUCAUGGCAACGCGGUAUCCUCAACGCACUGAGUGAGGCCAGGGUGGAACCUGCAACCUCAUGGUUCCCAGUCGGAUUCAUUUCCACUGUGCCACGAUGGGAACUCCUAGAAAUACUCCUUUAAUUUUCUGUUCUUACUCCCAAAGUUUGUCCAACAUAACUGAGAACAUUACCUGGUGCUUUACUUUUAAGAAAAUAUAUGAGAUGCAGCAAAGAGACAUCAUAGGUCAUUCUCACCCUCACUGAGGGAAACCACACGGUCAUUUGAAAGAGAGAUGGGGUUCCUGAUCUUGUACCCCUCUCAUCAUCACCUGUCUGUCCCAGGCCAGUCCACUCAAACUUCCCCUUCUGGGGUGGGGGCAGGGCACUGUCACCAAGAUGGUCACUCUGGCCACCCCCGUGGCAGGUGGGAAGUAGAGGCCCGUGAUUUACCACAGGUGCAGGGAUUGAGUGUCAGGUCUGCCGGCAGCCGUGGGCAGGGAGGAAAAUUCAGAUGUUAUACUGGAGCCCAAACCACUGCCACUGGGACUUCUCAGAGGCAGCAAAUGGAACUGGCCCCCACAGACCCAGGUGGGGACCAGCUGGCCUCUGCAGGGUCGCUCAGCUCUUGGGGCUGAGCAGAAGUUCGCUCACAUCACCACCCACGUCUGGAUGAACUUGCCAUUGACUUAAGCGUCGCCUACUGGAGGUAGGGAAGGGAGCCCUUUUCUUGUGGGAGAGCACCCUCUUCAGUAUCUCAUAGCCAGGAAUCCAAGCCAGGGCCUGGCUGCUGAGGGUGGAGUGGGGCUGUCCCACGAAGACACCCCCUCCUCUGCCACAGGCCAACACGUGCCUCAUUGCCAGGACACUGGCAGGGGCUGCUUGCUAGAGACCCUCUCACGUUUGCUGCCUGUGUGUGUCCACCACUGUCAUACACCUUCCACGGCCCCUGCUCCCCCUCUGUGGCUGUCAGCCAUCUUUCUGUCUCCUCUUGUUUUCUUCAGUCUCGCUUGCUGAUGUCAACCAGGAACCGAGUGCCACCUCCUCCUCCCAUCCCACGGCAUAGCCCUCCCUGGCCUCCCCCCUCAGGCCUUUCGCUCCUCCGCAGCCGGGGCCAUCCUUCUGCCCCACAAUCUGGUGGAGUCCCCUCUCUUCCUCAAACACCCACUUGGGUUCCCAUGGAAAGCUCAUCAAGGCCCUUCCAGAUCUGAUGCCCCCUCCCCACCAGGGCCUCCAUGCUGAGGCCACACUGCAGGCCUUCGUCCCUCAGGGCGUCCCCUCCCAUGUGUAGAACGAGCACGGGCCAAGGACAGGGGGAGCGCUCCUCCAGGCUCAGAUCUCCCAAGGGCCAGGUGUACAUGCUGUGCCCAGCCCCCAGCUCUGUUCUGGGUGUUAGGUGCACUUGAGCCAGAGAAGGAGGCUGGGUUUAGGGUCAGGGCCAGCACUUUAGGUAGCAGAGAAUGAGGAGAGAGAGGGUCCAAUUAGAGCGAUUGUCUGCUUUUCUUUAAAAUUGAAGUAGAGUUGGAUUUCCCAUUGUGGCGCAGUGGUUAACGAAUCCAACUAGGAACCAUGAGGGAUUGAACCCACAUCCUCAUGGAUCCUAGCCAGGUUCGUUCGUUUGUUAACUGCUGAGCCAUGAGCAGAACUCCUUGUCUUUCUCUUUCUGAUUUACUUCACUUAGCAUAAUAAUCUCUAGCUCCAUAUUUGUUGUGCACAUGGCAUCAUUUCAUUCUUUUUUAUGGCUGAAUAACUAUUUUUUGUGUUUUGUUGUUGUGGUUUUUUUAUUUUUGUUUUUGUUUUGGCUGAGGUAUGCAAUGGCUUGAUGUGGGGUUUCAGUUCCCAGACUAGUGAUUGAACCCAGGCUGCAGUGGUGGAAGCCCUGAAUCCUCACCACUAGGUCACCAGGAAAGAACCCUAUUUUUAGACUUCUAAGGAACCUCCAUACUGUUUCCCAUAGUGGCUGCACUAAUUUCCAUUCCUCCUAACAGUGUGGGUGGGUUUGCUUUUCUCCACGCCCUCACCAGCAUUUGUUAUUCCUCACUUUUUGAUGGUGGCCUUUCUGAGCAGCAGUGACCAUCUUAUGUCUGUGCUUUCACAUGUUAUCACACCUGGCGCGCUUAACACCUCCUAAAAACAAUGGUUUCCCCAGCGCCGUGAGAUGGUUUGCCUGGGCCCCCAUCCUCCACAGCCCAGCCCCAACCAAGACACCCAGGCCUCCCUCAGGCAGAGCCUCACAAUGGCUGAAGCUCCUUCUCCCUGGUUUCUCCCCUGUUAGAUGUGAGCCUGGUUCAUGGAGCGAGGUAGGAGCGGGAGUCACUUGGUGAGAGCAGAGUCACUGGCAGAGCCUGCCUCCCCAGGCCAAGGGGAGGGACAGACCUCACUAUCCCGGGACAAAAGGGGAGAUGGACGGCCAAUAGCAGGGGUUUCUCUGAGACCUCAGCUCCGUCCUGAGAGUGUAUGUGAGGGACCCGAGCCCGGCUGGAGCAGAGAUGGGGGAGGGGGACCCCAGCCCCUGCCUGGUGCUCACUCCCCUGAGGGAGACCCAUUGGUGGCCUCCUCACCAGUGGCUGACCCAGUGUCUCCUCUUCCCUUUGCCUUGGCCACUCUCAGCCCAGAAGCCAGACCUGCCCCAGGGUCCCCUGUGGGCACACUCAGCCCAACUUCUAUUCAGACAGUGGGGUCUGGGAGUGGCUCCCUGUGAUCCCCUGGGGUGGCCCCGCCUGGUCCCCCUCUAAGGUGUCACACCCCCUCUAGGGUGUCACAACCCACACCCUAGCUCCUGGACCCUCCGCUCCUCCAGGGCCGCUAGGGGGCGCUGUCCACUCACUGGAACCGCAGGGGGACCCAGCAGGUGAAGACCUGGAGGAGGGGGCCCCCCCCAAAAGGCCAUGCUCGGGGACCCGCGUGUGAUGCCCAGGGAAACUGAGGCCAAGGAGUCCAGGCAGGGGCAGAGGGGACCCGGGGGCGGGCUCGGUGACCACCCAGUGAUUCCUUUGGCAGUCACCAGGUUCUCAGCACUAUAGGGGGAUGCGCACUGCUGCGGACCACAUCCAGGGGCCAGAGUCCGAGGAGGUGCUCAGACACAGGACCUGUCCGCCUGUCCCUGCCGCUAUGAGUUCUGCUGCCCUGCAGAGCUAGCUGCAGGUCGCAGUGAGCCCAACAUGAACGUCCAUGUCCCCAGGCUCCAGGUGGGUGUGUGUCCUCCAGAAGCCCUUACCCGUGCGCCAGGGAGGCACAGGGCUUUCUGGGGCCCUGUUAGUGAAGGAAGGACGGGGACUGCCCAAUGUCCACCCACGCAGACCCGCUAGCACUUCGGUGUUCACACCGAGCCCUCUGGGUCCCCCUGCUUGACUGGCUCUCCCUACCCCCUACCCCAGUCCUAGAGAUGCUAAGUACAGGAAUUUAGGAGCAAUAUGUCAGCAGGAGCUGUCCAGGUACAUUUGGCACUUUGGACAAGUCUCAAGGUGCUCAGCCAGCUCUGAAAGAGGAGGAAAGCCUGCCCCUCCUGCCCCCCGCCCCCUUCCUUGUUUCCAGCCCUGCUGGCCUCCCUGCUAUUUCUGCAACCUGCCAGGCACAUUUGACCACAGGGCCUUUGCACUUGCUGCCCCUUCUGUCAGGAGCACUCCUCCCCAGGUGCCUCCGGGGGACCCCCUCCUUCAUUCAGGGGUGGCCCCUGCUGACCAUCCACCAGCUAUCACCCGAAGCCCCUUCCUUUCCUGAAGAACUUGUCGCACCUCAUGUUAUGGUAUAAUGUGUUGCUUACACUGCCUCGCCCACUGUAACUUUGCUCCAGGACUUGGUCUCUGAGGUCCCUGCCACGUCCCCAGGGCCCUGAGCAGCAGCUGCAGCAAUGCCAGAUCCUUUGACCCACUGCACUGUCUAGGCUGGGGAUUGAACCCGAGCUCCCCGAUGCACUUGGGCUCUUCACUUAACUGCACCACACUGGGGACUCCUGUCUUUCUUUUUAUAAUUGAGAAAAAGUUAAGCUGUGUCCAUUCUUGAAAACAAAACCAAUAGAAACAAUGCGUUGGAAAAUGAUGGCCCUGGUGAAACCCUCCUUCAGGCUCUGGUGUUGGUGGACCUGCUCUGGUAGCAGAUCCAUCUGGGCAGUGCCAGCCUAGCUGGGGGCACAGCUGGGUGGUGGCCCCCCUGCCCCACAUUGGCAGUGACAUUGGUGCUGGGCAGUGUGGGUGGGUAUCAGACCCAGUGUUGAGAGAAAGAAAACACAGUCUAACUUAAUCUACGUGAAGUCAAAAACAAGCAUAGCUGGAAAAUAGUUGGCUUAAGAGUCCACACAGAGGGAGUUCCCAUUGUGGCGCAGUGGUUAACGAAUUUGACUAGGAACCAUGAGGUUGCGGGUUCAAUCCCUGCCCUUGCUCAGUGGGUUAAGGAUCUGGCGUUGCCGUGAGCUGUGGUGUAGGUUGCAGACGCGGCUCAGAUCCUGAGUUGCUGUGGCUCUGGCAUAGGUCGGUGGCUACAGCUCCGAUUCAACCCCUAGCCUGGGAACCUCCAUAUGUCGCGGGAGCGGCCCUAAAAAAGGCAAAAAGGAAAAAAGGCAAAAAGGAAAAAAAAAAAAAAAAAAAA
rnacentral:lncRNA from 1 species